UUCCACCUGGAGGAAAUGGCUUUUACA
rnacentral:sRNA from 1 species